UGUGGGAAUGGAAUCUAGUUGUGCAAGAAAAGACCUCAAAACAACUGCAGCUAAAAGGAUUCUGAAGUUACCAAACAGCUACAAAUAUAGCACUUGUACCUGCUAAAGAUCUAAGCUCUGGAGGAACACCCACAACAGAUGGUCUCUUUGCUGUAAUCUCCUUCCUGGCUAUUUCAUACACGAACUGAACUUGAUGCCAUGUCUAUUUUUGAUCCCUAUAUUGCUUCAGUAUUCUUGACCAUUGAGCCCUUCCCAAACCCAAUGAGGACUGAACGUGAAUUAUGCCCUGUGACAGAAUGGCUGAGCAGAGACAUACGCAGACCAGGAAGCUGGUACAGAGACACAGGCAGGUACUUGUGGGUUAAUGCGUUGUUACACGUUUUUAUUAAAAAUCUAAUAAUUA